UACGGAGGGGGCUAGCGUUGUUCGGAAUUACUGGGCGUAAAGCGCACGUAGGCGGCUUUGUAAGUCAGGGGUGAAAGCCCGGAGCUCAACUCCGGAAUUGCCUUUGAGACUGCAUCGCUUGAAUCACGGAGAGGUGGGUGGAAUUCCGAGUGUAGAGGUGAAAUUCGUAGAUAUUCGGAAGAACACCAGUGGCGAAGGCGGCCCACUGGACGUGUAUUGACGCUGAGGUGCGAAAGCGUGGGGAGCAAACAGG
rnacentral:rRNA from 1 species